rnacentral:rRNA from 1 species
AUAUCGACGAGUUUGAUCCUGGCUCAGAACGAACGCUGGCGGCAGGCUUAACACAUGCAAGUCGAACGCCCCGCAAGGGGAGUGGCAGACGGGUGAGUAACGCGUGGGAAUCUACCCAGAUCUUCGGAACAACUGAGGGAAACUUCAGCUAAUACCGGAUACGCCCUACGGGGGAAAGAUUUAUCGGUUCUGGAUGAGCCCGCGUUGGAUUAGCUAGUUGGUGGGGUAAUGGCCUACCAAGGCGACGAUCCAUAGCUGGUCUGAGAGGAUGAUCAGCCACACUGGGACUGAGACACGGCCCAGACUCCUACGGGAGGCAGCAGUGGGGAAUAUUGGACAAUGGGCGAAAGCCUGAUCCAGCCAUGCCGCGUGAGUGAUGAAGGCCUUAGGGUUGUAAAGCUCUUUCAGUGGGAAGAUAAUGACGGUACCCACAGAAGAAGCCCCGGCUAACUUCGUG